rnacentral:rRNA from 1 species
AGGGCGGGACACGUGGUAUCCUGUCUGAAUAUGGGGGGACCAUCCUCCAAGGCUAAAUACUCCUGACUGACCGAUAGUGAACCAGUACCGUGAGGGAAAGGCGAAAAGAACCCCGGCGAGGGGAGUGAAAAAGAACCUGAAACCGUGUACGUACAAGCAGUGGGAGCCCCACCACUAAGCCAGUGGUGAACUCCACAUACGCAUCCUUUGCUGAGGAUACGGUUAACGGAGCGAAAGCGACGUUCAACCKCAAAAGAAGCAGAGGGGGCUUAGUGGUGGGGUGACUGCGUACCUUUUGUAUAAUGGGUCAGCGACUUAUAUUCUGUAGCAAGGUUAACCGUAUAGGGGAGCCGCAGGGAAACCGAGUCUUAACCGGGCGUUAAGUUGCAGGGUAUAGACCCGAAACCCGGUGAUCUAGCCAUGGGCAGGUUGAAGGUUGGGUAACACUAACUGGAGGACCGAACCGACUAAUGUUGAAAAAUUAGCGGAUGACCUGUGGCUGGGGGUGAAAGGCCAAUCAAACCGGGAGAUAGCUGGUUCUCCCCGAAAGCUAUUUAGGUAGCGCCUCGUGAAYUCAUCUCCGGGGGUAGAGCACUGUUUCGGCUAGGGGGCCAUCCCGGCUUACCAACCCGAUGCAAACUGCGAAUACCGGAGAAUGUUAUCACGGGAGACACACGGCGGGUGCUAACGUCCGUCGUGAAGAGGGAAACAACCCAGACCGCCAGCUAAGGUCCCAAAGUCAUGGUUAAGUGGGAAACGAUGUGGGAAGGCCCAGACAGCCAGGAUGUUGGCUUAGAAGCAGCCAUCAUUUAAAGAAAGCGUA